AUGAGGCCCCAGGUGCUGCUCGCCACGCUGGCCGUCGUCGUCAUCCUCGCAGCAGCUCUGCCCCUCGCCCACGGCCAAGGUGAGCCCGGGAUCCUACUUUUCUUUCUUCAUCUCCUCACCAAGUAUGCCAGCGAAGCCGCUUACUCACGUUGUUCGCUGCCUACAGGUGCGACCCCAAGCGCGUCGCUGUGCUGCGACAACUGCGGCACCUGCACCAGGUCCAUCCCGCCCAGGUGCACGUGCAUGGACACCUCGCCCAGCAGCUGCAACCCGGCCUGCAAGACCUGCGACAAGUCCACCGUGGCCGGCCGCGACAGCUUCCAAUGCAAGGACCGCGUCGCCAACUUCUGCCAGCGCAGCUGCACUAAGGCCGCGUGA
rnacentral:rRNA from 1 species